CAGACAUCUCUGCAGCAGCAAAAGCCGCAUGAGAUCCUUUGGGCCAAGUGGAGCCGCAGCCUGGGGACAGCCAAGCCUCUGGAGCGGGCGACAGAUGAACCUGGGGUCUGCGGAAGGACAAGGCACCCUUGCCGGGGAAAUGUGAUGGUCAGCAGAACCUCACGAGACAGAGGCCAGCUUCCGGAUGGCUUCUCCAGGAAGCAGAUGCUGUCUGCCUUUCCCAGCCCUGACUCUGCAGUGGCCUGGUCUGGAGCCAGGAGCUGGGAGCCUCUGAUGAAACAGCAGCUCCCAAGUGGCGGCAGGGUCAUAUCAGGGGACAACCGCUCACUCCUCAGCCCCUUCCACUCCCCUCUCCAGUCCUGGACACACAGGUUUUGUUUUUUUGGCAAAUCAGGUGUGAUCUUAUCUCCCUCACCAGGGAUUGAACCCAUACCUCUUGCAUCCGAAGGCGGAUUCUUAACCACUGGACUGUCAGGGAAGUCUCUUAAUUUAAUUUUUAUAUAUAUUGCAGCAUACUUGAUUUAAAAUAUUGUGGUCAGUUUCAAGUGUAUAGCACAGUGAUUCAGUUAUACAUAUACAUCUAUCCAAUCUUUUUCAUAUUCUUUUCCCAUAUAGGUUAUAACAGCGUACUGAAUAUAGUUCCCUGUGCUAUACAAUAGGUCCUUGGUUGGUUAUCUAUUUUAUAAAUUAUAGUGUGCAUAUGUUAACCUCAGAUUCCUAAUUUAUCCAUCCCUCCCUUCCUCUUUGGUAACCAUAAGUUUGUUUUCAAAGUCUGUUUUGUAAAUAAGUUCAUUUGUAUCCUAUUUUUCAGAUUUCACACACAGGAGAUAGCAAAUGAUAUUUGUCUUUCUCUAACUUACUUGACUUAGUAGGAUAAUCUCUAGGUCCAUCCAUGUUGCUGCAAAUGGCAUGAUUAACUUCUCAUAACUUCUUAUUGAUGCCUUAUAACCAAAAGGCUCUGUGUUAUGGCACCUCCAGCAAUUGUGGUGGGAUCAGCGCUGUGAUAUUCCAUUGCUGUUGGGUCUCACAUGAAAACUUUCAGCAGACAGUGCAGAGCGGUGGAGCACAGCCCUUCCCCCCUGAAAGAUGUAGAACCUCUGAAGUUGACCUUACAGGGGAAAAGUGACUUUGAAGAUGUAAUUAAGGAUCUCAGGACAAGAUGAUGCUGGAUUAGAAUGGGGCCUAAUUCCAAUAACAUGUGUCCCUAUAAGAGAAGAGACAAACAAGAAGGGAAGAAGUUACAUGGAGGAGAUGCCACUCAAAGACAGAGGCAGCGGUUGGAGUGAUGCGUCUACAAGAAAAAGACCUGGAUGCUGGGAAAGAUUGAAAGCAGGAGAAGGGGAUGACAGAGGAUGAGAUGGUUGGAUGGCAUCACCAACUGGAUGGACGUUAGUUUGAGGAAGCUCUAGGAGUUGUUGAUGGACAGGGAAGCCCAGAGUGCUGCAGUACAUGGGGUUGCAAAGAGCUGGACACAACUGAGCAACUGAACUGAACUGAACUGAACUGAACAAGGAAGGGCCAGCAUCACCAGUAACCAGCAGAAGCCAGGAGAGAUGCAUGGAAUGAAUUCUCCAGAGGGAACUGCCCUGCUGACAUCUUGAUUUUAGACUUCUGGCCUCCAGAACUAUGACACGAUCGGUGUCUGUUGUUUUAAGCCACCAAAUGUGUGGCACUUUGUUUCAGUAGCCCUACUGUUUCAGAUGGCCCUGUAGGUCUCAAAAUAAGAGAAGACUGAAAAUACCCUUGCUUUGGUUCCUAGGCCUUACGUAUGGUCUUGCCUCUGAAAGUGAGAAAAUGACUUGGUAAUUUUCCCACUUCCAAAGAGUUGAAACUCCUUGGCCUAAGUCUGCAUACCAUCUAGGGAGGGGAGACUGACCACAGAACAGAGGGGUGAUCCUCAAGGUCACGUGAGGAAGGGGCAGAGGAACAUGGCUCCCCUACAGGGCAGGGGAAAUGGCAAAUAUGGUGAGAAACUCACAGGACAAAGGAGCUGAGGACCCCAAUUCUAACCCUGGCUCUGCCUCUCAUUGGCCAGGUGACUUUGGGAGAGGUCCUACCAUUUCCUGGGUCUCAAGAUUACCCAUCUGUGAAAUGGGGGCAUGGGGCUGCCUGCUCUCUGGGGUCCCUUCCACUGGGACCUUCCAUGAGUGUGUGGCCACCCCCUGCCACAACCAGGGGUGCACUGUGAAGGGGGCCCCUAGCCUGACAGUGGCAGGUCCUUGGCUCUGUCUGCCAGCAUGGCCCAUUCUGCACAGCCCUACGUGUCUCUGCCAAAACCCGAGAGCCAGGAAGGUGGGUGAGGGCGGCCGGCGGAUGCGGUGCCCAUGUUGUUGCUGGUUUUACUGCAGCAGUGUGGCCCUGUGUGGCCCCGGGCAGAAUGCUGGCUGCAGAGCCUUCCCUCAGGGUCUCUUUAGAAACCAGUCACACACCAGGCUUUACUUUGGUAAUGAAGUGUACAUGAAAUUGAUGCAGUCGGUCCUUCUGACCAAUUUAUUUAGGAAUCUCUGUUCCCCUCCCUUCCUCCACCCUUUCUCCUUAAUUGACCUUUCUCAGACUCUGAGUUUGCAUUAAAUGCGAAAUCUGGGAAUUCCUUUUUCAC
ensembl:lncRNA